rnacentral:lncRNA from 1 species
CUACCACCAUGCAGCCAACUUUAAUGGAACAGCCAGCGGCGCUGCACGCUCAGCUCCAUGCCCGUCACUCAGGGAGAGCUGCAGCACAGUCCUGCACGCCACUCCGGUGGCUCUGAACGUUGGAAGUCCUCCGUGCCAGCGCUGCCACAGGUCUCUGCCCCCUCCAGACAGAACCAGAGCUUCCCUGAGCACAUCCCACAGCACCCAAAGCACAGCUGGGCCGACCCCGUGUGCCACUGGUGCAGGGAGCAGAGCGAAGGGAUGAGCUGGGCCAGCAGUGCUGCAGGGCUGUGCUGUGCUCAGUCCCAAUGCCGGUUGCUCACGCAUGGCUGAACCUUCAAUCCCUGCCCGCAAGCACAGCUGGUGAAGGAGUCCAACUGGGGGCUGGGAAUGAGUAUCACUGUGUCCCUGAGCUCUGGGCAGGCUCUGUCCCUGCUGGGCUCCCCGUCUCACCAGCCCCAGCCUGCAGCUGGUGGAUAUGCCCUUCCAGCAGCGCUGCGAGGUGUGCGGCUGCGUGCUGCAGCAUGGAGCACGUCUGGGAGGGAAGGAGUGCCAGGGUGCCCAGCGUCUGCCCCCGAGAGGUCUCCAGUGAGGGCAGCUUGGCAAAGUUCUCCACUCCCUGCCUGCUCAGGAUGGUGUCGUCAAUGCAGGCGCCCAGCAGGUUGACCUGCGGCACUCCCUUCAGGACCCGCAGCAUCUCCUUGGCCUUCGUUUCUGGGCUCACCAGAAGGAUAUUGCGGGACACAAAGAGCGGGAGUAGGUUCUUAUAGCGGGACUGGGACAGCACGGGGCGGACGAUCUCGUUCAGGACAAAUUUGACCUCAAUGUUGUGCUUCCGCAGGUAGUGCCUCAUCAGCACCAUGUCCUCCCCGGGCAUGGAGUUGUAUUGACACACUGCGAUCAUCCGGUUGUCCCGGAAUGCCUCCUCCACCUGCUGCCGGAGCAGCCGGGCGUAACCGUACUCCUCCUCCUCCUCCUCCACCUUCCUCCUGGGCGCAAGGCAGCGCUCAGGGACGGCGGGCCGCGGCGCGAUGUACUCGGUGACGGCCAUCAGCUUCUGGCGCUGGAAGUGCAUGGCCUUCCAGUGCCGGGUGACCGCCUUGGAGCCGCGCCGGACGAGCUGCAGGGCAGGCAGCCAGCCCCGCCGCCACGGCGCAGGGCCGCUCAGCGCCGCCAUCUUUGCCGCGG